rnacentral:snoRNA from 1 species
UACAAUGAUGAACAAAAACACUGCGUUCUUGCUCGAACGGGGUUUCGGCCUUGUUGAAGAAAACAACCAUAUCGAAUUCACCUUGGAGAACUGAUGU